rnacentral:rRNA from 1 species
AGAGGUGAAAUUCUUGGAUUUAUGGAAGACGAACUGCUGCGAAAGCGUCGAACAAGGACGUUCUCAUUAAUCAAGAACGAAAGUUAGGGGAUCGAAGAUGAUUAGAUACCAUCGUAGUCUUAACCAUAAACUAUGCCGAUUCAGGAUUGGCGGUCGUUUGUUCUCGACUCCGUCAGCACUGUAUGAGAAAUCAAAAUCUUUGGGUUCCGGGGGGAGUAU